rnacentral:tRNA from 103 species
GGGUUGCUAACUCAAUGGUAGAGUACUCGGCUUUUAAUAGUUCCGGGUUCGAAUCCCGGGCAACCCA